AACGAACGCUGGCGGCAUGCCUAACACAUGCAAGUCGAACGAGACCUUCGGGUCUAGUGGCGCACGGGUGCGUAACGCGUGGGAACCUGCCUUUAGGUUCGGAAUAACUCAGAGAAAUUUGAGCUAAUACCGGAUGAUGUCUUCGGACCAAAGAUUUAUCGCCUUUAGAUGGGCCCGCGUUGGAUUAGCUAGUUGGUGGGGUAAAGGCCUACCAAGGCGACGAUCCAUAGCUGGUCUGAGAGGAUGAUCAGCCACACUGGGACUGAGACACGGCCCAGACUCCUACGAGAGGCAGCAGUGGGGAAUAUUGGACAAUGGGCGAAAGCCUGAUCCAGCAAUGCAGCGUGAGUGAUGAAGGCCUUAGGGUGGUAAAGCUCUUUUAACCGAGAUGAUAAUGACAGUAUCGGGAGAAUAAGCUCCGGCUAACUACGUG
rnacentral:rRNA from 1 species